rnacentral:rRNA from 1 species
GACGAGCGCUGGCGGUGUGCUUAACACAUGCAAGUGGUGCGACGAACCAGACUUCGGUCUGGGGCAAAGCCGCGAACGGGUGAGUAACACGUGGGUAAUCUGCCCCGAUGACUGGGACAACCCGAGGAAACUCGGGCUAAUACCGGAUGAUGUGCCUGGACAUAAGUCUGGUCACUAAAGGUAGCUUCGGCUUCCGCAUUGGGAGGGGCCCGCGGCCCAUUAGCUUGUUGGUGGGGUCAAGGCCUACCAAGGCAACGAUGGGUAGCUGGUCUGAGAGGACGAUCAGCCACACUGGGACUGAGACACGGCCCAGACUCCUACGGGAGUCAGCAGUGGGGAAUCUUGCGCAAUGCGCGAAAGCGUGACGCAGCAACACCGCGUGAGGGAAGACGGCCUUAGGGUUGUAAACCUCUUUCAGAUGGGACGAAGGUACGACGGUGAAUAGCCGAUCGGAUUGACGGUACCGUCAGAAGAAGCUCCGGCUAACUACGUGCCAGCCGCCGCCGUAA